CCCUUAGAUGUUCUGGGCCGCACGCGUGUUACACUGACGAAUUCAACGAGCCUCAUCCUGCGCCGAAAGGUGUGGGUAAUCUUGAAAUUUCGUCGUGAUGGGGAUAGAUUAUUGCAACUUUUAAUCUUCAACGAGGAAUGCCUAGUAAGCGCGAGUCAUCAGCUCGCGUUGAUUACGUCCCUGCCCUUUGUACACACCGCCCGUCGCUCCUACCGAUUGGGUGUGCUGGUGAAAUGUUGGGAUUGGCUCCCGGAGGCGGUCUCCGCCGCUGGGCGCUAAGAACUUCAUUAAACCCUCCCACCUAGAGGAAGGAGAAGUCGUANCA
rnacentral:rRNA from 1 species